rnacentral:tRNA from 1 species
AGACUUAGGAUAAUCAGACCAAGGGCCUUCAAAGCCUUAAGCAGAAGUUUAAACCUUCUUAGGUUUG